rnacentral:rRNA from 1 species
GAUGAACGCUGGCGGCGUGCCUAAUACAUGCAAGUCGAGCGAACGGACGAGAAGCUUGCUUCUCUGAUGUUAGCGGCGGACGGGCGAGUAACACGUGGAUAACCUACCUAUAAGACUGGGAUAACUUCGGGAAGCCGGAGCUAAUACCGGAUCAUAUUUUCAACCGCAUGGUUCAAAAGUGAAAGACGGUCUUGCUGUCACAUAUAGAUGGAUCCGCGCUGCAUUAGCUAGUUGGUAAGGUAACGGCUUACCAAGGCAACGAUGCAUAGCCGACCUGAGAGGGUGAUCGGCCACACUGGAACUGAGACACGGUCCAGACUCCUACGGGAGGCAGCAGUGGGGAAUCUUCCGCAAUGGGCGAAAGCCUGACGGAGCAACGCCGCGUGAGUGAUGAAGGUCUUCGGGUCGUAAAACUCUGUUAUUAGGGAAGAACAGAUGUGUAAGUAUCUGUGCACAUCUUGACGGUACCUAAUCAGAAAGCCACGGCUAACUACGUG